UAACCUGCCUUGGAGUGGGGAAUAACAGCUGGAAACAGCUGCUAAUACCGCAUAAUGCAGUUGGGUCGCAUGGCUCUGACUGCCAAAGAUUUAUCGCUCUGAGAUGGACUCGCGUCUGAUUAGCUAGUUGGUGGGGCAACGGCCCACCAAGGCGACGAUCAGUAGCCGGACUGAGAGGUUGGCCGGCCACAUUGGGACUGAGACACGGCCCAGACUCCUACGGAAGGCAGCAG
rnacentral:rRNA from 1 species